rnacentral:rRNA from 1 species
CAGUAGCGUAUAUUAAAGUUGUUGCAGUUAAAAAGCUCGUAGUUGGAUUUCUGGUGGGAGCGAUCGGUCUGGCGCUUAGCGCGAGUACUUGCAUCGUCUCCGGCCAUCCUUGGGGAGUGUCUGUCUGGCAUUAGGUUGUCGGGCAGAGGAUCCUCAUCGUUUACUGUGAAAAAAUUAGAGUGUUCAAAGCAGGCUUAUGCCGUUGAAUAUAUUAGCAUGGAAUAAUAAGAUAGGACUUUGGUACUAUUUUGUUGGUUUGCGCACCAAAGUAAUGAUUAAUAGGGACAGUUGGGGGUAUUCGUAUUCCGUUGUCAGAGGUGAAAUUCUUGGAUUUACGGAAGACGAACUACUGCGAAAGCAUUUACCAAGGAUGUUUUCAUUAA